GAUGAACGCUAGCUACAGGCUUAACACAUGCAAGUCGAGGGGUAACGAGAGGGAAGCUUGCUUUCCUUGUCGACGACCGGCGCACGGGUGAGUAACGCGUAUCCAACCUGCCCCCAACUAAGGAAUAACCUUGCGAAAGUAAGACUAAUACCCUAUAAUUUCCUCAGAUGGCAUCUGACGAGGAAUAAAGAUUUAUCGGUUGGGGAUGGGGAUGCGUCUGAUUAGCUUGUUGGCGGGGUAACGGCCCACCAAGGCAACGAUCAGUAGGGGUUCUGAGAGGAAGGUCCCCCACAUUGGAACUGAGACACGGUCCAAACUCCUACGGGAGGCAGCAGUGAGGAAUAUUGGUCAAUGGGCGGAAGCCUGAACCAGCCAAGUAGCGUGCAGGAUGACGGCCCUAUGGGUUGUAAACUGCUUUUAUACAGGAAUAAAGUUAGCCACGUGUGGUUAUUUGUAGGUACUGUAUGAAUAAGGACCGGCUAAUUCCGUGCCAGCCGCCGCCGUAA
rnacentral:rRNA from 1 species